GAUGAACGCUGGCGGCGUGCCUAAUACAUGCAAGUCGAGCGAACGGACGAGAAGCUUGCUUCUCUGAUGUUAGCGGCGGACGGGUGAGUAACACGUGGAUAACCUACCUAUAAGACUGGGAUAACUUCGGGAAACCGGAGCUAAUACCGGAUAAUAUUUUGAACCGCAUGGUUCAAAAGUGAAAGACGGUCUUGCUGUCACUUAUAGAUGGAUCCGCGCUGCAUUAGCUAGUUGGUAAGGUAACGGCUUACCAAGGCAACGAUGCAUAGCCGACCUGAGAGGGUGAUCGGCCACACUGGAACUGAGACACGGUCCAGACUCCUACGGGAGGCAGCAGUAGGGAAUCUUCCGCAAUGGGCGAAAGCCUGACGGAGCAACGCCGCGUGAGUGAUGAAGGUCCUCGGAUCUUAAAACUCUGUUAUUAGGGAAGAACAUAUGUGUAAGUAACUGUGCACAUCUUGACGGUACCUAAUCAGAAGGCCACGGCUAACUACGUG
rnacentral:rRNA from 1 species